UACGGAGGGUGCAAGCGUUAAUCGGAAUUACUGGGCGUAAAGCGCACGCAGGUGGCUGAGUCAGUCGAUUGUGAAAGCCCUGGGCUUAACCUGGGAAUUGCAGUCGAUACUACUCAGCUAGAGUAUGGGAGAGGGUAGUGGAAUUCCCGGUGUAGCGGUGAAAUGCGUAGAUAUCGGGAGGAACAUCAGUGGCGAAGGCGGCUGCCUGGCCCAAUACUGACACUCAGGUGCGACAGCGUGGGGAGCAAACAGG
rnacentral:rRNA from 1 species